UGCCGGGUCAUCUAACGGUAGGAUAGUGGACUCUGAAUCCAUUCAUCUUGGUUCGAAUCCAAGCCCGGCAGCCA
rnacentral:tRNA from 1 species